GUCUAUGGCCAUACCACGCUGAGCACGCCCGAUCUCUUCUGAUCUCAGAAGCUAAGCAGGGUCUGGCCUGGUUAGUACUUGGAUGGGAGAAUUACAGAGAAGUUGUAUGAA
ensembl:rRNA 5S_rRNA 5S ribosomal RNA